GACAUACUCCCUCCGUCCCAAAAUUCUUGUCUUAGAUUUGUCUACAUACGAAUGUAUCUAUUCACAUUUUAGUGUUAGAUACAUCCGUAUCUAGAUAAAUCUAAGAAAAGAAUUUUGAGACGGAGGGAGUACUUA
rnacentral:pre_miRNA from 1 species